rnacentral:rRNA from 1 species
UACGAAGGGGGCUAGCGUUGCUCGGAAUCACUGGGCGUAAAGCGCACGUAGGCGGACUCUUAAGUCGGUGGUGAAAUCCUGGAGCUCAACUCCAGAACUGCCUUCGAUACUGAGAGUCUUGAGUCCGGGAGAGGUGAGUGGAACUGCGAGUGUAGAGGUGAAAUUCGUAGAUAUUCGCAAGAACACCAGCGGCGAAGGCGGCUCACUGGCCCGGUACUGACGCUGAGGUGCGAAAGCGUGGGGAGCAAACAGG